CGCAUCAAGCUAUCCUACACCCCGCUAGUCCGUCACGCCAUCCCGCACCCCGCAGUAAGCUACCGCGCAGCGCGCUAAAUCUACCACGCCACCCCCACAAAUUACUCCCAAGGGGGUGUGGUCAGAGUAGGUAGCUAAAAUAGUUUUUGCAAUGGAGUCCUCCACCUUAUCGCAUGCCGUCAUUCUUGCUGCAGACAAUUGAAGCUUUGCAUCGUGUUUCGCAACGUGGGAGCGGAAGGAGAGAAGAUUUUGAAGACGGUGAAGUUGCUCCAUGUUCACGACAAGGAAGGAUUCGUCGUUACUAAUAUGGACGAAACUUACCACUUCAUCCAUGGAGGUUUUGGAGAUGCAAAAAUUACCAAAAUUCCUGAAUUGUAUGGGGUUCGGGUGAAAGAAUUUGUUAUUGGAUCAAUUAACCUCGCAGGAAAACGACAGUACGACAGGUAAGGGGUGGGAAAGGGGCGCGUCGCUUUAACGGUGGGGGAGAUGUCUAUCACUGGGGUACAAUUGGUGGCAUUGCCAUUCUGGCGCCAAAGUUGAUGCACAAGGAAGAAUGGAGUUUUGAAAUUGAUAAGGAUUUUUGGAAGGUAAUCUCAGUGGGGAGGAGUUUUGGUGCAAAUUUCGUUCUCACAGACCGAGGAAAGGAAUGUUAGAACAUUGAUAACUACGUAUAAAUAUACGAUCCAAAAUUUAGGUGUGAUUUACCGUUUUCUAAAUUUUGCA